AUUUAACCGCACCUAUCCCCACCCCCAUCCAACCACUGGGUUUAAUGUGCUAUAUAUAUGUUUACUACAGUAUUAGUAAUAAGAGAACAUCACUCUCUACAAACUGUGAACUCAAUCACAAAAUAUAGGUCUUUAGUUUAAUUGAAGAAGAGAACCUACAUUCCAACAUGCCCAAGAGAAAGGGAGCUGAUGGCGAUGUCAAUGAGGAGCCUUCAAGGAGAUCUGCACGGUUGUCAUCGAAACCAGUACCUUCAAAACCAUCACCAAAUCCAAAAAAGCCAGCUAAGAAAGAAAAAUAAGUAAAUAACAAGAAGAAGGCGAAGGCAGCAGCGGUCGAGGAGCCUAAAGAGGAGACCCAGACUGAAAAUGGCGAGAUCAAGACAGAUGAAGUAGAGACUCCAGAAGAGAAGACUGAGUAGCACUACUCCCGUCCAUCCAAUCCCCUCCCUUGUAUGGCCCCCAAGUCUCAUAUGUUAUCCCUAAAACAUCCAUUACCUUAACAGAGGAAUAUUUUUAUCAACAAUUUUGUAAUUAUUGGUACAGGGUUUUAGCUCAAAACACAGCUAAAUAUGGAGGACUGUUCUGUUGUGCAGUGGUCAUAAAGUGUUUUUAAGAAAACAUAAUUACGGUUUUGUUUAUUUCAUAGUUUUGGUACCUUGUUGGGACUUUAAAAAAUAAUGCUGGAUGGCAGACUAAUUGCAGGUGGUAUAGUGUCACAUUGUAGGUUCACCAACUCAUAACAUUUCACUUUUGUAGGUGGUUGUAUUUUUACCCUUUAUGUACAGUGUUUUUUCUUUGGGAGGUGUUUACUUAUUUUCAACUUGAUUGUCUGUAAGCAAUCUUGGAAACAUUUAAACAUUCCAGGCUUAAAGGACAAUUUCACAAUUUUUCAACUUCAUAUUCAUAAUCUCGAGGACCACUGCAACAACAUGUGAAAAUUGCAAAUUUGUUUUGUUAAAAAAUAGGAAUAUUUUCAAUGACACCAUCAGUGUGCAUGGUGUGAUUUUAACAAAUUAGUUACCAUCAUUAGCUACUAAUUGGACACUUCCUCAGUUUUUUUAUCACAAAACAUAGAAACCCCACAUUUUCACAUAUGUUGAUGUUGUGCUGGAGAUUAAGCAGAACAUUUUUUAAAUUUCACUAAUGUGGGCAUACCUGCUUUUUAAAUAAACUUGCUCUUAAUUAUUUUAACACAAAUGAUUUAAACAGAGGAAGAGGCUUGUUGGAAGUUGAUUAUACUUUUUGAAACAAAUGUUGGGAUUUUAACACGGAAAAUUAAUCUAUUGAAAUAUGCAGCUGUGUUCCCACUGAAGUUCUGGAUAUUUAAUUGGAAUUUAAUAAAAUAGUAAUUUCUCAUGAGGUUGCGCAAGGUC